UCUGUGCGAGUGUUUGGGUGUAAACCCCUACGCGGAAUGAAAGUGAACGGAGGUAGGAGCCCUGUAUGGGGUGCACUAUCGACCGAUCCUGAUGUCUUCGGAUGGAUUUGAGUAAGAGCAUAGCUGUUGGGACCCGAAAGGAGGUGAACUUUGCUUGAAUAGGGUGAAGCCAGAGGAAACUCUGGUGGAGGCUCGCAGCGGUUCUGACGUGCAAAUCGAUCGUCAAAUUUGAGCAAAGGGGCGAAAGACCAAUCGAACCCCCUGGUAGCUGGUUCCUGUCGAAGUUUCCCUCAGGAUAGCAGUAACGUCUUCAGUUUUAUGAGGUAAAGCGAAUGUUUAGUGGUAAGGGGGUCACAAUGACCUUCACCAAUUCACAAACUUUAAAUAUGUAAGAAGUCCUUGUUACUUAAUUGAACGUGGACAUUUGAAUGUAUCGUUACUAGUGGGCCAUUUUUGGUAAGCAGAACUGGCGAUGCGGGAUGAACCGAACGUGAGGUUAAGGUGCCGGAAUGUACGCUCAUCAAACACCACAAAAGGUGUCAAUGCAUCCAGACAGCCGGACGGUGGCCAUGGAAGUCGGAACCCGCUUAGGAGUGUGUAACAACUCACCGGCCGAAUGCAUUGGCCCUGAAAAUGGAUGGCGCUUAAGCGUGCUACCUAUACCUCGCCGUUGGGGUUGAAAUGAUGCCCCAACGAGUAGGCAGGCGGGAGGUUUGGACGAAGCCUUGGGGGGACCCCGGGCGA
rnacentral:rRNA from 1 species